GGUCGACUUCUCUCUCUUUCGCCUUAACUUUUUUUUUUUGGCUAUGUCUCUCUUGGCUUCGACGGAGAAUCAUCAUCGGUUGAUCAUGAAACCCGCCGCCGGUUGAGCCUAGAAUCCAAAGCCGGAAGCAUCGUCCUUUCCACUGCCGGCUUCAUCAACGGCGAAAUUGGUGGAAUUUGAGACUUGAAUGUUUUUCUUUUCUGACUUGAAAUCGUAGAAAUUUCGAUGCAGUGAGCUUCUUCAUUCUUCUAUAGAUGUUGGAGAUGGUAGUUAAGGUGGGAAGGAAGUUGAGUUUUGAAUUCAAUGGUAUGAAGUCUUGGAGAAGUCACGUCCUUUAUACUGAAAUUUUGCUCCAACUGCAAAGGUUGAUACUCAGAUACCUAAUGCUGCUGAGCGUCGGAGUCAAACAGAGGACGAUAUAGUUCCAUGUCCGCCAGAUACCUCACCGCCGUCUAUGUUUUCAUCUUCUGGGCUUUCUUCUUAGGCCAAGAGUUUUAAGUUCCCUCAGGAAGAUCCUAACGCUGCAGAUUCUGGUAUGUCAGCAGCUUUCACUAGGUUCACCUCUGAGCUUGGUCUGUAUUUGCCAACAACUAAAGGGCCUGACGAGGUCGGUGAAUCCGCAAGUUGGUGCUGCUGUUGAGUCCCUCACAAAAGCUGUGGUGGAUUCGUCGCGUGGUGCAGUGAAAGCAAUGCAGGUGAAAGCACGGCACAUUGUCUCUCAUAAUAAAAGAAGAUAUCAGGGACUAUACCGCGUCACAUGGAGGAGGUGAUCAAGUUUUUUGAAACUCAUCACAAGGGAUAAUCAUUUCCAAUCUGAUGAACGAGAUCAAAGAGUCACGCCUUCAGGUAUGUCCGUCUAUUAAAGAAAACUACAUAUCACUUAAUGGACUGGGGUAACUGUUUGAGCAUGAUUUAAUAUAUAAAUCCAGCUCAUAAAAGACCCAUUUGAAACAUGCUAAAUUAGUAGUGAAAAUAUAAUCCAUCGACGAAAUCCAGCUAUUCCGGUCCAAAGGGUUACCUUGUAGAUCAAGAUAGCGAACUCUGAGGUCUACGGAUAACAACCAAGACUCACUCACCUUGUUGUCAGUCGGUUAUAUAACAUGCCAAAAUCUCAGGAGCAGGCACAUCACGUGCACCCAAGAUGCGCGAAAUAAUUGUGCGAUAUGAGCAGUACAAAAAACGAGCCAAGACGAUAGUUUCAUUCAUGCUUUUUGAUUUACUCACUUGAGACUUAAAAUACUUUCUUCGAACUGCAUUGUUUUUUGUUGUGUUCUUUGUCAAUAAUAUUAGUCCAAUUUGAACACACUAUUUUAGAAAUCUAUUCAAAGAGA